rnacentral:rRNA from 1 species
ACCCCGGGAGGGGAGUGAAAUAGUACCUGAAACCGUUGGUUUACAAUCAGUCAGAGCGUCGUCUAAGAUUUCGAUCUUAGGCCGCGAUGGCGUGCCUUUUGAAGAAUGAGCCUGCGAGUUAUGGUGUGUGGCAAGGUUAACCCGUGAGGGGAAGCCGAAGCGAAAGCGAGUCUGAACAGGGCGUUCAGUCGCAUGCUAUAGACCCGAAGCCGAGUGAUCUAUCCAUGGGCAGUGUGAAGCGGGGGUAAGACCCCGUGGAGGCGCGAACCGACCUAGGUUGAAAACUGGGCGGAUGACCUGUGGAUAGGGGUGAAAGGCCAAGCAAACUCGGUGAUAGCUGGUUCUCCGCGAAAUGCAUUUAGGUGCAGCGUCGCAUGUUCAGUCAUGGGGGUAGAGCACUGGAUGGGUUAGGGGGCCUACAAGCUUACCGACCCCAACCAAACUCCGAAUACCAUGACUCCAAAGUGCGGCAGUGAGACCCCGGGGGAUGAGCUUCGGGGUCGAAAGGGAAACAGCCCAGACCGCCGACUAAGGCCCCAAAUUCUGGACUAAGUGGUAAACGAAGUGAGAUUGCAAAAACAGCCAGGAGGUUGGCUUAGAAGCAGCCAUCCUUGAAAGAGUGCGUAACAGCUCACUGGUCGAGUGAUCUUGCGCGGACAAUGUAACGGGGCUCAAGUCCAGAGCCGAAGUCGCGGGUUUUCACAUUAGUGAAAGCGGUAGCGGAGCGUCGAUCUUGCUGUGAAGCGCCGGUGUAAACCGUCGUGGAGCGUGGUCGAGUGAGAAUGCAGGUAUGAGUAGCGAGAGAGGGGUGAGAAACCCCUCCGCCGAAAAUCCAAGGGUUCCUGGGGAAGGCUAAUCCUCCCAGGGUGAGUCGGGAGCUAAGACGAGGCCGAGAGGCGUAGUCGAUGCACAACCGGUUGAUAUUCCGGUACCACUGUGAGCACGACCAGGCUCAACCAUUGUUGCUAAGGGGAUGCUAGGAGCCCGUAAAAAGGCACCUAGAGGAACCGACCCACAAUGGAGCGGCCAGCAAUGCGGGGACGCAGGAAGGUAGGUGAACCCACCCGAUGGUAGAGGUGGGGUAAGUAUGUAGGGCGGGUCCCAGGAAAAUCCGGUACCCACUAAGCCUGAGAUACGACGCCGACUCGAUUAAGAGGAAGUCAUUGAUCCUAUGCUGCCAAGAAAAGCCGCUAGCGAGUUCUCACGGUGCCCGUACCCCAAACCAACACAGGUGGAUAGGUAGAGAAUACCAAGGCGAUUGGGAGAACUGUGGUUAAGGAACUCGGCAAAUUGCAUCCGUAACUUCGGGAGAAGGAUGACCUCAUACAGGUGAAGGAACUUGCUUCCUGAGCUUGAAGAGGUGUCACAAACCAGAGGGAAGCGACUGUUUACUAAAAACACAGCAGCGUGCUAAGCCGUAAGGCGCUGUAUACGCUGUGACGCCUGCCCGGUGCCGGAAGGUUACGGGGACGGGUUAGCCCUUUAGGGCGAAGCUCUGAACCUAAGCCCCGGUAAACGGCGGCCGUAACUAUAACGGUCCUAAGGUAGCGAAAUUCCUUGUCGGGUAAGUUCCGACCUGCACGAAUGGCGUAACGACUUCCCUACUGUCUCAACCACAGACCCAGCGAAAUUGAAGUACGAGUAAAGAUGCUCGUUAGCUACAGAAGGACGGAAAGACCCCGUGGACCUUUACUACAACUUGGUAUUGAUGUUUGACCUUCACUGUGCAGGAUAGGUGGGAGACUUUGAAGCGCAUGCGCCAGUGUGCGUGGAGUCAUCCUUGAAAUACCACCCUGUGUAUGUUGAACAUCUAACCUCGAACCGUUAUCCGGUUUAGGAACAGUGCCAGGCGGGUAGUUUGACUGGGGCGGUCGCCUCCCAAAGAGUAACGGAGGCGCCCAAAGGUUCCCUCAGCCUGGUUGGCAAUCAGGCAUCGAGUGCAAUGGCAGAAGGGAGCUUGACUGCGAGACCUACAAGUCGAGCAGGGUCGAAAGACGGGCAUAGUGAUCCGGCGGUUGCGUGUGGAAGCGCCGUCGCUCAACGGAUAAAAGGUACCCCGGGGAUAACAGGCUUAUCUCCCCCAAGAGUUCAUAUCGACGGGGA